rnacentral:misc_RNA from 1 species
CUCGAUGUGGUAAGCCCAUAGUCGUGAAGACGCAGGACACACACACACACACACACAUACGACUGCUUGUUGUUCCCCCUUUUUCGUUCCGCAUGUCAAUCACUGUCGGCAUCAACGGCUUCGGCCCUAUCGGAAAGUCCGCCUUAUUCGCGGCCCUAGCCGAUCCGUUGUUCACCGUCACGGCAGUCGUUGAUGCCUCCGUGUGUGCGGCCUACAUUGCAUAUGUGAUUGAGCAGGAGUAUCCGCAUCGCAACCCGACAGGGCCUCCGAUUCGGGUGACGGACAAGCAGAAGGAUCAGAUUGUACUGAACGACAUCCACGCCAUUCACGUGUCGGCCGCGCAAGAUCCGCAGUCAUCCACGUGGAAGAAAUAUGGUGUGCAGUACGUGCUAGAGUGCACAGGCCUCUACACCACACGUAGCCGCAGCUGGGGUCACGUGACAGGUGGUGCGGUGGGCGUCUUCAUCGCCGCCGCCAGCGCUGAUACAAACACAGUCAUGGCAUCAAGUGACUUGGAAAGACUCGCGGCAUCGUUGCCCGUGUGCGCCGUAGGAGCGCCCAUCGGGGCCGUCGUAGCUCCAGUGCUGGACGCGCUGGCGAAGGUGUUGGAGAUCGAGCAGGUGAGUUACACAGCCCUCUAUGGGCCUCAGCCACAGCACCCAAUCGGCGCUAAGUCGGACGACUCGCGCGACUGGCGGCAAGUUCGACUGCAGCCAUUUGCCAGCUGUGCGAUGGCGUCCAGUCGCGACAACGGCGCUGAAACAGUUGGCGCGCUCCUGCCGCAUCUGGCUGGCCACGUGAGUGCUAGCGCUUUCCAGGUUCCUGUGGCGCAAGGGUGUGCAAUCGACCUCGUUGUCUACACGAAAGAGGCCGCGCCGGCUGAUGUGGUGGCGAGCGCCUUCGCGCACGCCGCGGCGGGCUCGAAGCCGCUUUCAAAGGUAUGCAUCGCCAACGGACCCAUGAUCAGCGUUGACUGCAUUGGCAGCUCAAGUGUCAUACUCGACGCGGCUUCGUUGAGCAGCAGCACCGAAGGCAAGGUGCAUCGCAUGGUAUUGUGGGUGGACGUAGCGUGCUACUACGCUGCACUGCUGUUGUCAUUGGUGAAGCAGGCUCACAGCAUUCACGCGCCACCGUCGUCGUAAGGAACACAUCGUUCAGAUGCAUACAAGGCAAGCUCGGCGACUUUCUUCAUCUCAUGAUCUCCCUCCGCCUUCUGUGUCGUCUAGGUCGCACGCGCAGUGUGGGCACGCGGCCAUCUCUAUCUGUAUGCCACUUGAAGAACCACUGACGCGUCUUCACCCUCCGCUGUUGCACUGUUCUCGGUUGCCUUCGCCGUUUGUACUUUCGUGUGUGUGUGUGUGCUUUUCCACUUGUAUGGUUUAUGUUUUUUUUUUCUUCGUUCUGGGGGAACGCAGGCCGUCUAUGUAGACAAGCUCUCUUUGUUUUCUUGUCCUUUUCUCUUCCCUCCUGGCACUUCCCGAAGAUACGUGUAUACAUAUACAUAUAUACGUAUGCGCCUGCAUGGGCUGAGGCAACGUCUCCGCUCGCCUUCUUGCAUGGACGACAAGACCAGAAACUAACAUUGGCACUAAAACAUGGAAAGAACCAAAGCAAACAACAGCACCGAUGUGGACUUCCCAAUGCAGAAGAUGACAAUAGCCGCUCCCAGUCUAGACGCGUUGCGUUACGUGAGUGGGUAGUGACGAGUGAGCGAUGCACAUUUUCGGCACCGAAGAGAGAUAAAACGGAGUCAUGCCCUUGCUGUUCGUUCAUGUGGGAUGACGCUCGAUGAGUGGCUUCGCCUUCGAUAGACAUCCGGGUAUGUGUGUGCUUGGGCGUGUGUCCUUCUCAUUUGCUUCUUUUUUUUGUUUGUUUUUGCUUUCGUGGCACUCCUGUCC